rnacentral:tRNA from 1 species
GCCGCGGUAGCUUAGGCCGGGAGAGCGCCGGACUGAAGAUCCGGUUGUCGCAGGUUCAAUUCCUGCCCGCGGCACCA